GGCGACGAUGCGUAGCCGACCUGAGAGGGUGAACGGCCACACUGGGACUGAGACACGGCCCAGACUCCUACGGGAGGCAGCAGUAGGGGAUCUUCGGCAAUGGACGAAAGUCUGACCGAGCAACGCCGCGUGAGUGAUGAAGGUUUUCGGAUCGUAAAACUCUGUUGCCAGGGAAGAAGGAUGAGGAGAGUAACUGCUCUUCAUUUGACGGUACCUGAGAAGAAAGCCCCGGCUAACUACGUGCCAGCAGCCGCGGUAAUACGUAGGGGGCAAGCGUUGUCCGGAAUUAUUGGGCGUAAAGCGCGCGCAGGCGGUCUUUUAAGUUCGGUGUUUAAACCCAGGGCUCAACCUUGGGUCGCACUGGAAACUGGGAGACUGGAGUGUAGGAGAGGAAAGUGGAAUUCCACGUGUAGCGGUGAAAUGCGUAGAGAUGUGGAGGAACACCAGUGGCGAAGGCGACUUUCUGGCCUAUAACUGACGCUGAGGCGCGAAAGCGUGGGGAGCAAACAGGAUUGGAUACCCUGGUAGUCCACGCCGUAAACGAUGCAUGCUAGGUGUUAGGGGUUUCGAUACCCUUGGUGC
rnacentral:rRNA from 2 species